GACGAACGCUGGCGGCGUGCUUAACACAUGCAAGUCGAACGGGUCUGCCCUGUUUUUUGCGGGGUGGGUCAGUGGCGAACGGGUGAGUAACACGUGAGUAACCUGCCCCUCACUUCUGGAUAACCGCUUGAAAGGGUGGCUAAUACGGGGUGUUCUGGCUGUGCCGCAUGGUGUGGCUGGGAAAGAUUCACUUUUGUGGUGUUUUGGUGGGGGAUGGGCUCGCGGCCUAUCAGCUUGUUGGUGGGGUGAUGGCCUGCCAAGGCUUUGACGGGUAGCCGGCCUGAGAGGGUGGGCGGUCACACUGGGACUGAGAUACGGCCCAGACUCCUGCGGGAGGCAGCAGUGGGGGGUAUUGCAUAAUGGGCGGAAGCCUGAUGCAGCGACGUCGCGUGAGGGAUGGAGGCCUUCGGGUUGUGAACCUCUUUCGCCGGUGAAGAAGGUCCUGCUCUUUGUGGUGGGGUUGACGGUAGCCGGGUUAUGAAGCGCCGGCUAACUACGUG
rnacentral:rRNA from 1 species